rnacentral:rRNA from 1 species
AUUGAACGCUGGCGGCAUGCCUUACACAUGCAAGUCGAACGGUAACAGGUCUUCGGAUGCUGACGAGUGGCGCACGGGUGAGUAAUACAUCGGAACGUGCCCGAUCGUGGGGGAUAACGAGGCGAAAGCUUUGCUAAUACCGCAUACGAUCUACGGAUGAAAGCGGGGGAUCUUCGGACCUCGCGCGGACGGAGCGGCCGAUGGCAGAUUAGGUAGUUGGUGGGAUAAAAGCUUACCAAGCCGACGAUCUGUAGCUGGUCUGAGAGGAUGAUCAGCCACACUGGGACUGAGACACGGCCCAGACUCCUACGGGAGGCAGCAGUGGGGGAUUUUGGACAAUGGGCGAAAGCCUGAUCCAGCCAUGCCGCGUGCAGGAUGAAGGCCUUUGGGUUGUAAACUGCUUUUGUACGGAACGAAAAGCCUCUUUCUAAUAAAGAGGGGUCAUGACGGUACCGUAAGAAUAAGCACCGGCUAACUACGUG